rnacentral:rRNA from 1 species
AUACGGAGGAUGCAAGCGUUAUCCGGAUUUAUUGGGUUUAAAGGGUGCGUAGGCUGUGCGUUAAGUCAGGGGUGAAAUGCCGUCGCUCAACGACGGAGCUGCCCUUGAUACUGGCGUGCUGGAGUACGGAUGCCGUUGGAGGAAUGAGUGGUGUAGCGGUGAAAUGCUUAGAUAUCACUCAGAACACCGAUUGCGAAGGCAUCUGACGAAUCCGUCACUGACGCUGAGGCACGAAAGCGUGGGGAUAGAACAGGAUUAGAUACCCUGGUAUUCCACGCCGUAAACGAUGAUGACUAACCGUCGGCGAUAGACAGCCGGUGGCCAAGCGAAAGCGAUAAGUCAUCCACCUGGGGAGUACGUCGGCAACGAUGAAACUCAAAUGAAUUGACGGGG